rnacentral:rRNA from 1 species
UUUGGGCUACCCCCGACGCAGGCCCUUGACAUUGCCAACCGCCUUAACUGCCGCCUGGGCUCCUUCCCCAGGACCUACUUGGGCACGCCCAUUAGUGACUCUCGGCUCACAGUCGUGGACUUGCGUCCAUCUGUGGCCAAGUUGCAGACUCGCAUUGAGCCUUGGCAGGGUAGAUGGCUAUCGAAGGCGGCUCGGACGAUUCUCAUCAACUCCUCCCUCUCUAGCCUCCUCUUGUUCCUCAUGAGCUUCUACAGCCUUCACGAGACUCUUCACCAUGAGAUCGUCAAAAUCCAAUCUCGAUUCUAUUGGGCUAGCGAUAAUAAUAAGCAAAAGUACCAUAUGGUUAGCUGGCCGGACAUCUGCAAGCCCCAUGAUCAAGGAGGCCUCGGUAUCAUGUGCUCUAAGCGCAUGAAUAUUGCCCUCCUUUCCCGCUGGCUUUGGCGCAUUUCGCAAGGGCAUGGUGCCCUAUGGUUGGACAUCAUCCGGAACAAGUACCUUCGUGGGCAACCCCUGGCCUUCUGUCAAAGGUCCGGCGGUUCCCAGUUUUGGCAGUCGGUCAUCCAACUGCUUCCCGUCCUCCGUAUCGGAAUGUCCAUCUUGGUUGGAUCGGGGGCGGCGACUUUGUUCUGGUUUGACCGCUGGGCGGGUGACUCCCCCUUCGCGGCUCGCUUCCCCGACCUCUUCUCCGUCGCUUUCGCCCCCACAAUCUCUGUAGAGAGGGCCCUUAUUGACUUAGGGCGCCUCGCUUUCCGGAGCCCAUUUGGGCCUCCGGAGGCCGCCGCUUGGCACGAGCUGCUUGUCACAUCCCUAGUUCUAGUAAUGCCUAGUGCUAGCAUCUGGUGUUGCAUCAUGUUUACUUUUCACAGAAAGUUGAAAUGGGGAUGA